rnacentral:rRNA from 1 species
AGUGAACGCUGGCGGUAGGCCUAACACAUGCAAGUCGAACGGCAGCACAGUAAGAGCUUGCUCUUACGGGUGGCGCGUGGCGGACGGGCGAGGAAUACAUCGGAAACUACUUUUUCGUGGGGGAUAACGUAGGGAAACUUACGCUACUACCGCAUACGACCUACGGGUGAAAGCAGGGAAUCUUCGGACCUUGCGCGAUUGAAUGAGCCGAUGUCGGAUUCGCUAGUUGGCGGGGUAAUGGCCCACCAAGGCGACGAUCCGUAGCGGGUCUGAGAGGAUGAUCAGCCACACUGGAAGUGAGACACGGUCCAGACUCUUACGGGAGGCAGCAGUGGGGAAUAUUGGACGAUGGGCGCAAGCCUGAUCCAGCCAUACCGCGUGAGUGAAGAAGGCCUUCGGGUUGUAAAGCCCUUUUGUUGUGAAAGAAAAGCAGCAGGUUAAUACCCCGCUGUUCUGACGGUACCCAAAGAAUAAGCACCGGCUAACUUCGUG